GUAGCGUACGGGUGAGUAAUGUAUCAGAACAUACCAUAGUGUUUAGCACACCGGUUUGAAGAAACCUCAAAUGCUUUAUAGUUUUGCCAUAUAUGCCAAAGAAAGAUGGAUCGCACUAUGAAUGGCUGAUAUCGGAUUAGCUAGUUGGUGAUUAAAGGCUCACCAAGGCCAUGAUCCGUAGCUGUUCUUGAUGGAAGCACAGCCACAUUGGAACUGAAACAAGGUCCAAACCCCUACGGGGGGCAGCAGUGGGGAAUAUUGGACAAUGGGCGCAAGCCUGAUCCAGCAAUGUUGCGUGUGUGAUGAAGGGAAACUGUAAAGCACUUUUGCUUCCCAGUAAUGCAAUGAUAGUAGGAAGCGAAUAAGUACCGGCAAAUUACGUGCCAGCAGCAGCGGUAAAACGUAGGGUACAAGCGUUAAUCAGAUUUACUAGGCGUAAAGGGUUUUAAGGCCGAACAUAAAGAGCCAUGUUAAAGCGCAAUGCUCAACGUUGCAUCCCAUGGCUUACUGAUGUUCUUGAAUGGCAUAGAAGGGAAUGGAAUUUAGCAAGGAGCAGUGAAAUGCCAUGAUAUGCUAAGGAACACCAAAGGCGAAGGCAGUUCCCUAUAUGCCCUUGACGCUGAUCAAAACGAAAGCAUGGGUAGCAAACAGGAUUAGAGACCCUGGUAGUCCAUGCCCUAAACGAUAUCAACCAGUUGUGGGCCCAUAGCAAAGCUAACGCGUUAAGUUGAUCGCCUGGGGAUUACGGUCGCAAGGCUAAAACUCAAAGGAAUUGACGGAGAUUCGAAUAAGCAGUGGAUGAUGUGGAUUAAUUCGAUGAUACACGAAAAACCUUACCUAUCCUUGACAUUGAUCUUAUUGGCGUUGGCAACAGCCCCAACUAUUUCAACAGGUGCUGCAUGGCUGUCGCUGGUUCGUGUUGUGAAAUGUUGGGUUAAGUCCCAUAACGAACGAAACCCUUACCUUAUGUUGCAUACUUAAGGCACUGCCGUUGUUCAUUUCUUUAAAGGAAACUAAAGCGGAGGAAGGCAAGGACAAAGGCAAGUCCACAUGGCCCUUAUGGAUAGGGCUUCACACGUCAUACAAUGGCUAAUACAAUGAGCUGCAACCCAGCAAUGGGAAGCCAAUCUUUCAAAGUUAGUCCCAGUUCGAAUUAUGCCCUGCAACCCGGGCAUAUGCAGAUGGAAUUGCUAGUAAUCGCAGAUCAGUAUGCUGCGGUGAAUACAUGCCCGAAUCUUGUACACACCGCCCG
rnacentral:rRNA from 1 species